CAAUGCAUGCGUGUUGGUGUGUGGAGGUGAGUGAACCGUGAGGAUUGAGUGAGUGCUGGACUUUUCUCUUCCGAGCGAACGAGGACUUUUUUUUUUUUUUUUUUUCUUCCCACCAUCAAGGUCAAAAGUCCGGACGAGACGACGGUUGGAACACAUUCGAAAAUGCGAGGGGGAAUCCAGGAAGAGAGCCCGUUGCCGUUAAAAAUUGAGAGCGGGAGAGCAGCCGCUAUUGUCCGUGUGCCUUCAUAACACUUGUGGCAUCGCCGAGGAGAGACUUUGACACCGACUGGCUGCUAAGCUUUCCUGAAUGGGGUGAAUUGAAGCGACAUUUGUUUUUAUUUAUUAUUAUUAUUAUUUUUGUGAUAAGCUAGUCCGAGGCAUUUGCAGACGUUCAAAAAAAGGGAAGGGGAGGCGAGGAGGGGCAAAGAAAACGCCCUGCUGCCACAGCCUGUUACCGUUAUCUCCAAAUUCAAACUUUAUCGUCGACUUCAAAAUGCGGAGAUAAGAUGGAAUGUGGAACGUUAUGUCUUUUUUUUUUUAACGUCUCGUGCUUUGUUUAAGGGCCGCACUCUUGGCAAGUUUUGGGAAGUCUCAUUGCUGUAGGAAUAUUUUCCCCUCUUCGUCGUUGCACACUAUCCCCGUUGGAGACGAUCUGGAUGGGCAGGGAGCCCCAAGGGUGCCCCGCUAGGCCCGAACAACGAAGUUUCACAUGUAAACCCAAGCACUUUGGGACAAAAACAAGGCUUUCUUUCUCAUUAUUUGCCGAGCGACGCCGCAGAUAUGUCUCAGGGCGCCGAGAGGAGGAUGGAAAGCCGGCUGAAGAAGUUGGAGGACAUGAUGAGAAACCCCAGGUCUGCGUUAAACCUGGAAAGUUUGCUGGACUCCUUAAAUGCGGUGGUCUUAGAUUUGGACUACCCUGCACUUCGCAAGAACAAAAAUAUUGAAACGUUUUUAAAUCGAUAUGAGAAUGUCAUAAAACAGGUCAGAGACCUGCAGAUGAAGUCAGAGGACUUUGAUAGAGUUAAAGUGAUUGGCCGAGGAGCUUUUGGUGAGGUUCAACUGGUCAGGCAUAAAGCCUCUCAGAAAGUCUACGCCAUGAAGCUUCUCAGCAAGUUUGAGAUGAUCAAACGGUCAGACUCUGCCUUCUUCUGGGAAGAAAGGGACAUCAUGGCCUUUGCCAACAGUCCAUGGGUGGUGCAGUUGUGCUGCGCCUUCCAAGAUGAGCACUACCUCUACAUGGUGAUGGAGUACAUGCCAGGAGGUGACCUGGUUAACCUCACCAGUACCUACGAUGUGCCAGAGAAAUGGGCCAAGUUUUACACCGCAGAGGUGGUGAUGGCACUGGAUGCUAUUCACUCGAUGGGCUUCAUUCACCGUGAUGUCAAACCAGACAACAUGCUGCUCGACAGACAUGGACACCUGAAGCUUGCGGACUUCGGUACAUGCAUGAAGAUGGACUCAACUGGUAUGGUACAUUGUGACACAGCAGUUGGAACCCCUGACUACAUUUCUCCUGAAGUGCUGAAAUCCCAGGGAGGCGAUGGUUAUUAUGGGAGAGAAUGUGACUGGUGGUCUGUUGGCGUCUUCAUCUUUGAAAUGCUUGUUGGUGACACGCCAUUUUAUGCUGACUCUCUGGUGGGAACCUAUAGUAAGAUCAUGGACCAUAAAAACUCCCUCAACUUUCCAGAUGACGUAGAAAUCUCCAAAGAUGCAAAGAAUAUAAUCUGUGCCUUCUUGACUGACAGGGAAGUGCGAUUGGGACAGAAUGGUGUGGAGGACAUCAAGCGACACCCUUUCUUCAGGAACGACCAGUGGACCUUUGACACAAUCAGAGAGACCGUUGCACCUGUGGUCCCCGAGCUGAGCAGUGACAUUGACACCAGUAACUUUGAUGAGAUUGAAGAUGAUAAAGGUGAUGUAGAGACGUUCCCCACACCCAAGGCUUUUGUUGGAAAUCAGCUCCCCUUUGUGGGCUUCACCUACUUCAAAGAAGACCAGUUACUAAAUGCGUCGAAGAACUCCUCAUAUCUUAAUGAUAAUUCAAAGGGAGAGUCUGUAGCACUGCAGAAGAAGCUUCAUCACUUGGAAGUGCAGCUGAAUAAUGAGAAGCAAGCCAAAGACGAUCUGGAGCACAAAUUUAGAGCUGCCACUAGUCGUCUGGACAAAGUCUCGAAAGAACUUGAAGAUGAGGUGACUAGCAGGAAGAAUUUGGAGUCAAGCAUGAGGCAGCUGGAAAGGGAGAAGGCCCUUCUGCAGCACAAGAGCAUGGAGAGCCACCGCAAGGCUGAGAGCGAAGCUGACAGGAAACGCUGUCUGGAAAAUGAAGUCAACAACCUCCGUGAUCAGCUAGAUGACCUAAAAAGAAGAAAUCAGAAUUCACACAUUUCUAAUGAAAAGAACAUUCAUCUGCAGAAACAGCUGGAAGAAGCCAACAUAUUGCUGCGGGCUGAAUCUGAGUCUGCAACGAGGCUCCGUAAAACCCAGACAGAGAACAGCAAACAGCUGCAGCAGCUGGAGGUGAACACGCGAGAGCUGCAGGACAAAUGCUGUCUGCUGGAACGCAGCAAGUUAAGCCUCGAGAAGGAAUGCAUCAGCCUGCAGGCCGCCCUGGAGACAGAACGCAGGGAGCACAGCCAGGGCUCAGAGACCAUCAGUGACUUGAUGGGGCGUAUCUCUGGCCUUGAGGAGGAGGUACAGCAGCAGAAACGAGCUCUCUCCAAAAUGGAGACUGAGAAGAGGCAUCUUCAGGAGAAGCUCACUGACUUGGAAAAGGAGAAGAGCAACAAAGAGAUUGAUUUCACCUACAAGCUGAAGGUGCUGCAGCAGGGGCUGGAGCAGGAGGAGAGCUCCCAUAAAGCCACCAGGGCUCUGCUGGCAGACAAGAACAAGAUAAAAGUAACCAUCGAAGGUGCAAAAUCAGAGUCUAUGAAGGAGAUGGAGCAGAAGCUGGCAGAGGAACGAGCAGCCAAGCUGCGACUGGAGAACAGAAUACUUGAACAGGAGAAGCAUAGCAGCAUGAUGGACUGUGACUAUAAACAAGCUCUUCAGAAGCUGGAUGAGCUGCGCAGACACAAAGACCACCUCACGGAUGAGGUGAAGAAUCUAACGUUGAAGAUUGAACAGGAGACCCAGAAACGUAACCUGACACAGAACGACUUGAAGGCCCAGAAUCAACAGCUAAAUUCUUUGCGAACGUCCGAAAAGCAGCUCAAGCAAGAAACAAAUCACCUACUGGACAUUAAACGCAGCUUGGAAAAACAGAACCAUGAGCUCCGCAGAGAAAGACAAGACACAGACGGGCAAAUGAAGGAACUCCAAGACCAGUUAGAAGCUGAACAGUAUUUUUCUACUUUGUAUAAGACCCAGGUUCGUGAACUAAAAGAGGAAUGUGAGGAGAGGAACAAACUCUUCAAAGAGGUGCAGCAGUCGCUUCAAGAACUACAGGAGGAGAGAGAUUCUCUGGCUGCCCAGCUGGAAAUCACACUUACUAAGGCUGACUCAGAGCAGCUAGCUCGCUCUAUUGCUGAGGAGCAAUACUCUGAUCUGGAAAAGGAAAAAAUCAUGAAGGAGCUGGAGCUGAAGGAGAUGAUGGCCCGCCAUCGUCAGGAAUUGUCAGAGAAGGACAUCACCAUCAAUUCGUUGGAAGAAGCCAAUAGGACCCUGACCAGUGAUGUCGCCAACCUGGCCAAUGAGAAGGAGGAGCUCAACAAUAAAAUGAAGGAAGCCCUUGAAGAAACAGAGAAGUCCAAGGAUUGGGAGCAGCAUAUAAUUCAGAUGAAGCACACAUUUGAGAAGCAGCUGCAGUCUGAGAGGACCCUGAAAACUCAGGCUGUCAAUAAGCUGGCAGAGAUCCUGAACAGAAAGGAGAUACGUGGUGGAAGUAGUCGCCGUGGCAACGACACAGACAUGCGCCGCAAGGAGAAGGAGAACAGAAAGCUGCAGCUGGAGCUGAGAUCGGAAAAAGAAAAGCUCAACAGUACCAUCAUCAAAUAUCAGCGAGAGAUCAACGAAAUGCAGGCACAAUUGGCAGAUGAGAGUCAGAUGCGCAUUGAGCUCCAGAUGGCUCUGGACAGUAAAGACAGUGACAUUGAGCAGCUGAGGAAUCUCCUCCAGUCACUCAGUGUUCAAUCAAUGGACUCUGCCAGCAUCAGUAGUGGACCGGAUUUUGAUGCAGAUGAUGCCUUUACAGAAACAAGACUUGAAGGGUGGCUUUCCCUCCCUGUGCGUAACAACACCAAGAAGUUUGGAUGGGAGAAAAAGUAUGUUGUUGUGAGCAGCAAGAAGAUUCUCUUCUACAAGAGCGAACAAGACAAAGAGCAGUCCAUUCCUUAUAUGGUGCUUGAUAUAGACAAACUCUUCCAUGUGAGGCCUGUCACUCAAACAGAUGUGUACCGAGCUGAUGCCAAGGACAUUCCAAGAAUAUUCCAGAUUCUUUAUGCCAAUGAAGGUGAGAGCAAAAAGGAGCCUGAAUUUCCUGUAGAGCCUCUGCCAAUCGGUGAAAAGUCCAGCUACAUCUGUCACAAAGGCCACGAGUUCAUCCCCACGCUUUACCACUUCCCCACCAACUGUGAGGCAUGCACCAAACCACUAUGGAACAUGUUCAAGCCUCCGCCUGCUUUGGAAUGUCGGCGCUGCCACAUUAAGUGCCACAAGGACCAUAUGGACAAAAAAGAGGAGAUCAUCGCUCCUUGCAAAGUGAACUAUGACGUGUCUACGGCCAAGAAUCUGCUGCUGCUCGCCAUGUCUCAGGAGGAGCAGCAGAAGUGGGUGAGCCGUCUGGUCAAGAAGAUUCCCAAAAAGCCACCACCACCUGAGAACUUUGCACGCUCCUCACCACGCACUUCCAUGAAAGUCCAGCCCAGUCAGUCCAUUAGGAGACCCAGUCGACAGCUCCCCACCAGCAAGAGCAGAUUGGUGGACUUUGGUCUUCAAGAAUGGCACUGGUCCUUGGAUGAUAUUGAUGAUGAUUGUGUUUCUAGUCAUUUCUGAUGAGUUGCUAUGAUCAAAUGGCCUCAAAUUGAUGCGAGAAGACUCCAGCAGUGGACUAUGCUAACCUUGUGCGGGAGGACUGGGUGCAUCCUGAAGACGUUCCCUCUUAAAAAAUGAAGACUGUAUUACGCAGCUCUGUUGGCCAAUCAGCACACUGAACUUCAAUUCUCCACAAGCCACCCUCCUGCUUCACGCCUGACUUAAGCUUGACUUGACUUCCAGCACUUCCAACUGCUCAUCUCUAUUCAAGUUCUCACGUGGCUGUAAUCGACUCGGGAGCAUUUGACGUGGACAUUUAAGUGUGUCUCGGGAUUCGUGACUCCCACAGAACAAGAUGGGAUGCACAUACCUCAACAUUUGAUGGACGGUCCCUCAUCUCCUCCUCCUCUUCAUUGUGGACCAUGGCCAAAAUACAUUUGCGUGUUAUUGUGAAUAUAAUUAAGGGUUUCUGUGGAAAACUACAAACAAAAGAUAAUAAAUCCUGUAACUUGUUGAUUUAGUUAAGCACCGUUAACAUGCAUUAUAGCUUUCAAGUUGUGUCCACAUUGGUCACUUAACUUGAAUAAGCGACUUUAGCAAAAGAGCCACCGAAGUGCCGAAGUUGUUGCGAUCUCGACGGUCCUAAAAGAACAGAAAUACACUUUGAAUGACGGCUCCCGUUAAUCCCACCGCGCGCUGCACUGUCAGUUCUGAGUUGUGUUGUUUACUGAAUUGAAGGGAUGAACCUUCUUUGCUUUCCUGAUCCAAGCUCAGCACCUGCUGUUGUUUGAAUGUAAAAACUGGGAUGUACCAGAGAUGAGACACUAGCAUUGUAUUCCUUGGAUCCGAACUUACUUGACUGAAGCGCUUUGUUAAUCACAAAGCCACUGAAUGACCGUGCACGUCCACUUGUUGCCACACACGUACACACUGCGACACAUUAAGACGUGUGUCAUUCACAACUAUGAAACUGAGGGAAGUAUACCAAUAAGCAGAGUUAAAAUCAGUCAACAUACUGAGUGGCACUAUUCCAUUCAGAGUUUUUCUUCAAAGGUGUUGUGAUAUUUUUGUAUUAAAAGUAAACAGAUGCAAGAGUUUGGGCACAUUGUUGUGUGUGGAUGUGGCUUUUAUAGUAAGUGGAGAGACACUGUGUUUUUGUGUGUGCUCUCCUUUAACCAUCAAGCAUGUUUUAUACAUAUAAAUAUACACAGUAAUGUACACAGUAUAUAGUUUACAUGCCAUACAGUGCACAUAUUAUUUAUACAGCUGUGUCCACUUUGUAUUUAAGGGCUUUACAUUCAGACUGCAUGUUCGCUACCAAACGGUUCUCUAUAAUAACCACUUCAACAAUAAAGAUGUGGAUGUGC